rnacentral:rRNA from 1 species
AGCAACCUGCCCUCCACUUCGGGAUAAGCCUUGGAAACGGGGUCUAAUACUGGAUAUGAGCUCCUGCUGCAUGGCGGGGGUUGGAAAGUUUUUCGGUGGGGGAUGGGCUCGCGGCCUAUCAGCUUGUUGGUGGGGUAAUGGCCUACCAAGGCGUCGACGGGUAGCCGGCCUGAGAGGGCGACCGGCCACACUGGGACUGAGACACGGCCCAGACUCCUACGGGAGGCAGCAGUGGGGAAUAUUGCACAAUGGGCGAAAGCCUGAUGCAGCGACGCCGCGUGAGGGAUGACGGCCUUCGGGUUGUAAACCUCUUUCAGCAGGGAAGAAGCGCAAGUGACGGUACCUGCAGAAGAAGCGCCGGCUAACUACGUGCCAGCAGCCGCGGUAAUACGUAGGGCGCAAGCGUUGUCCGGAAUUAUUGGGCGUAAAGAGCUCGUAGGCGGUUUGUCGCGUCUGGUGUGAAAACCUCAGGCUCAACCUGGGGCGUGCAUCGGGUACGGGCAGACUAGAGUGCGGUAGGGGAGACUGGAAUUCCUGGUGUAGCGGUGGAAUGCGCAGAUAUCAGGAGGAACACCGAUGGCGAAGGCAGGUCUCUGGGCCGCAACUGACGCUGAGGAGCGAAAGCAUGGGGAGCGAACAGGAUUAGAUACCCUGGUAGUCCAUGCCGUAAACGUUGGGCACUAGGUGUGGGGCUCAUUCCACGAGUUCCGU